AACGCAUCUUGCGCUCCUUGGUAUUCCGAGGAGCAUGCCUGUUUGAGUGUCAUGAAAUCUUCAAUCUACAAACUUCUUAUGGGGUUUGUAGGCUUGGACUUGGAGGCUUGUCGGUCCCUUUACAGGUCGGCUCCUCUUAAAUGCAUUAGCUUGGUUCCUUGCGGAUCGGCUUGUCGGUGUGAUAAUGUCUACGCCGCGACCGUGAAGCGUGUUUGGGCGAGCUUCUAACCGUCUCGUUACAGAGACAACUUUUAUGACCUCUGACCUCAAAUCAGGUAGGACUACCCGCUGAACUUAA
rnacentral:misc_RNA from 1 species